CAGCGCCACAAGUGGCAACCAUAAUUAUUGGGCCUAAAGCGUCCGUAGCCGGUUCUGUAAAUCUUUUGUGAAAUCGUGGGGCUUAACUCCAUGACGUGCAGGAGACACUACAGAACUAGGAACCGGGAGGAGUCAGAGGUAUUCCAGGGGGAGCGGUAAAAUGUUCUGAUCCCUGGAGGACCACCUGUGGCGAAGGCGUCUGACUAGAACGGAUUCGACGGUGAGGGACGAAAGCUGGGGGAGCAAACCGGAUUAGAUACCCGAGUAGUCC
rnacentral:rRNA from 1 species